CUCUCACGGUGCACUCGCCCCGCUCCACGUCCUGCGAACAGGUAGAGAAACUCCGAAUGAGCUGGCGAUAUUCGGAGAAAACCACCGGAAGUGGAGGGAAGAGAGGGAAAGUCAUUCCGUCGUACAAAGUCCGGUCGCGACACAUCGCUGAUAUAGUUGGGACCAAACUGGUGAUAACAGGAUUUACUAAAAUUUUAAACGAAACCCCUUAUCUCACGGUAGGAUAAAUUUCCACCUCAAGAAAUGGGAGCGCAACAAAUGGCACGAAAAGUCGAACGUUCAAUCCCUUACAGUUAUUUUUAUACAAUUAAUUAGUAUUCAUUUUUCCAUCUUCGUGGGUAGGAUAGAGAUAAUUUGCGUAAGCGUUUUUGCUAGUGUUAGUGUUCCACUAUGUAUCGGAUUAGGCGAAGUUUUCCGUAAGACGCGAAUUCCGACAUUAAUUAAUUAAUUUAUCGGCACAUUCGCUCUAGUUUGAUAAGCCUUUGCGCCGGUACAAGGAAUUUUCGGCGAUUUCCCCAAGUGUCCCUAAACAUAACUUUAAUUGUACAAAUUCCAGAUGCAAAAAAUGCUUGUUUUUUUUUUAUUCAGUAAGACUGAAUCGGGCUUUGUUCCCACGAAGAUAGCAUGAUAGCGUACCAAUACAUAGAAAAUUACGUGAUUCCAUCAAAUGAGUCCCAUAACUGGAAUUUUAUUUCCUCGGCAGAUUCCACGAGAGAAAGGAAGGAUUCGAUAUAACCGAGAGCGAAACGACGAGUACUCUUUAUCAGGCAAAAUCGGCCUCGCAACUGUCCGAUAAGCCGAAUUUUCAGAAAUCGUGACUCCGCUCCGAUAAUCAUGCAAAAAGAUUCCGAUAAGUCGGCUCACUUUUGCUCUGCUGGCAACUUAAUAAUUCCUAUCGCAGUGUUCAACAAUCUUACAUAAUUCCUGGGUGGCAUGAUCCCGGUACAGUGUAACUGACUAUGCGAUUAAAUGAUCGAUUAAUCUGAACUCUUUGUGCCGCGACAUUUGCAAUUCACGUUGACGUGAAAAAUUCCAGUUCCCGUGUAAAAUAAUUCUCUACGCUGAUAAGAAAUUUUCUUUGAACCAGAGAAACAUGUCGAUAAUUCAAAAAAUAAUUAUUUCACUCAAAGUGGAUUAAAUCGGAAUUAUGACAAAAUGAUUCUUUGGUUCAAUUACAUUUAUUUAUUUCUUUGUUUCUCAGGGCGUUUAAUUCUGUCAGAGCGUUAUCUCGGGACAUGCGAUAAUUAGUAUAAAUACAAUUUGCGUCUGCAUAUCACGCGAUCCCUGCAACAAUAUUUUUAACGGCGCCGAAGCCUUCGUGAUAAGAGAUUCCCAUGUCACACAAUGACUUUUCAUCCUCCGACGAUGUUUAAUCGCUAUCACGAGCCUAAAAAGUGAAGCGAACGAGCCGUUAAAAAAUAAUCCACUUUGUAAUUCGUUAAUUAGCAUAUUAUCAGCUCAUUAGGCGAUCGAUUAAUCUGAAUCCCUCACAUCAUUCCAACACUUCUCUAAGAGUUUCAUUCAUCCUAGCGUUAUCUCGAGGCUUGCGAUGAUUACUAUCAGUAUGAUUUGCAUGUGCAUAUCACGCGAUCCCUGCACCAUCAUUUUUAUCGUCGUCGGAACUCUCGUGAUAAGAGGUUUCCAAGUCACACCAUGAUUUUUCCUCCUCCGAUGAUGUGUUAAUCCUUAUCUCAAGUCUAAAAAGUGAAGCAAAAGAAUCGUUAAAGAAAAAUCCACUUUGUAAUUCGUUAAUUGGCAUAUUAACGGCCUUCGGUGUAAUUAACUUCGGUGUGAAUUUAUUAAGAUCGAAUGUUUGCUCUUGGAAGCCGCUCUUCCGUACUCGUCGCGCAUUCUCGGAUUAAUUAAUUUUCCCAGUGCAGAUGCAGUUAAUUGAACGCGCUCCGAGGCAUUACGUGUCAUACUUGCUGCAUCUCGGGGAUGCUCGUAUGACUUGCAUUGCACUUCUCGAAUGGAACUGAGGUUAGCAUCGUAAAUGGGAUAUGUAGGAACAAUUUUUGGAAAUUGUCGGGGCAGCGCCAACGAAAUGGUGUCGGGUCUUCAGGAAUGUCUUUAAUUUCACAAUCGAUGGCGACAUAUCAACAGGUGAACGAGUGUUAAAUUUGGAAACUCCAUUAACAACUGGGAUUUUCAAGGAGUAUAUUGCGAUAACACCUACCAGGCAUUUAGUUAUCUGAUAUGGAAUUGUUUGAGUAUAUUGCAAAAUUACCCAGUGGACAAGUACUGGAUGUUAAAUCGCUUGAUCACAUUGCAUGCGUUGAUAAAAAUAUCCAUGUUAAUUUACACAUCGGUUAUUUUUAUGCCCUAAUGAAUUGGAGUAAAAUUACCCCCUCUCUGUAAUAUCACAUUUAAUUUAAAUUAAAAUGCACCAAUGCGGUAAAUACACGAUGUCAAGUUUA
rnacentral:lncRNA from 1 species